CAGAUUUCCAUCAUGGUGCAGGCUCCUAUAUACAUUGCAGAAAUCUCGCCACAAAGUAUUCGACGGGCAUGCACAGCUUCCAUCACGUUCAUGGCAUAUUUUGGCAUUUCAGUGAUGUUUCUAAUCGGGAAUAUCCUGACUUGGCGUCCCUAGGCUAUAGUAGGAAUUAUACCCUCUUUGGUGCAGUUACUAGGCAUAUUUUUCAUACCAGAGUCUCCGAGAUGGUUGGCUGCGACUGGCCUGGACAAAGAAGUAGAAGCAUCUCUAAAGUAUCUGAGAGGAAAAAAUGUUGAUAUUUCUUCAGAAGCAGCUGAAAUUAAGGAAAAUGUGGAGUCCCUUCAAAAGCUCUCAGGAUCAAGAUAUCUGGAUAUGUUCAAUCGUGAAUAUGCUCAUUCAUUCAUUCAUUGUUGGAUUCGGAGUAGUGAGCAGAUGAGUGUUUGCUGUCAGCCCCAAUCCUUCGGUUUCCGGAUUGGAAUAAGGAGUUCCAUGUUCAUACUGACGCAUCACUCUAUGCCAUUGGAUGUAUGUUGGCGCAAGAAGGGCCGCUUGAUCACUCCAUCUACUUUUAAAGUAUACGACUUUCCGCUUGGGAAUUAUACAACCACCGAACCUUCUUUAUCAUGAUUCGACCCAUACCUCAGACCCAAGAUCGAGCACCAGAGCUGCUCAUAACAACGUACCAAAAAGAAGAAUGCGAGAAGUUCAUAUUCUCCAUAUUCUACUAUAAACCAGGUAGUGAGGAUGAAAAAAAGCAUAAGCUACCUCGUUCGUGCUCCCGUCUUUCCCGCUGCCAUCUUCGGUGGAUGCGCCCCUUCACUUAAAGGCGGAUAGGGCACUGAGCCAACCUUUUAGAUUGAAUAAAGUUACUAAGCUAGUCACCUCACCUCUCUUUCUUACCCGCCCUUAUUAGUAGUAGGCAACCUUUCUUUCUCGCCUUUCUUCCAGCUUUUUCCAGAUAAAGGUCUAAUAGAGUUGCGCUUUCUUAGUACAUUGCCUUUCAUUACCAAUCUGUCGUUUUACAGCACGAAGUUACCUGAUGUUCGCUACUACUAAUAAGGGCGGAGAGAUGUUAACCUUUCGCUAUUAGUAAGCACUCCCCUAGUUUUGACCUAAUGAGCUUUCUUUACGUU